rnacentral:rRNA from 1 species
AGUCAAUAGAUACCCCGGUAGUCCACGCCGUAAACGAUGAAUACUAGGUGUAGGAGGUAUCGACUCCUUCUGUGCCGCAGUUAAACACAAUAAGUAUUCCGCCUGGGGAGUACGGUCGCAAGAUUAAAACUCAAAGGAAUUGACGGGGGCCCGGCACAAGCAGCGGAGCAUGUGGUUUAAUUCGAAGCAACGCGAAGAACCUUACCUAGACUUGACAUCUUCUGCAUUAAUCGUAAUGGAUGAAAUCCCUUCGGGGACAGAAUGACAGGUGGUGCAUGGUUGUCGUCAGCUCGUGUCGUGAGAUGUUGGGUUAAGUCCCGCAACGAGCGCAACCCCUAUUAUUAGUUGCUAACAUUAAGUUGAGCACUCUAGUGAGACUGCCCGGGUUAACCGGGAGGAAGGUGGGGAUGACGUCAAAUCAUCAUGCCCCUUAUGUCUAGGGCUACACACGUGCUACAAUGGUGGGAACAAAGAGAUGCAAUACCGCGAGGUGGAGCU